UAGUAUCUCAAGUCUCAAGAUUAGCCAUGCAUGUCUAAGUAAAAAUAACUCUUUACUGUGAAACUGCGAACGGCUCAUUAUAUCAGUUAUAGUUUACUUGAUAGUACCUUACUACUUGGAUACCCGUAGUAAUUCUAGAGCUAAUACAUGCAUCAACGCCCAAUCGGGCCGCGUUUAUUAGAUAGAAACCCAUAUUUUUGGUGAAUCAUAAUAACUGUGCGAAUCGCAUGGGUUUACCCCGGCGAUGAAUCAAUCAAGUUUCUGCCCUAUCAGCUUUCGAUGGUAGGGUAUCGGCCUACCAUGGCGUUAACGGGUAACGGAGAAUUAGGGUUCGAUUCCGGAGAGGGAGCCUGAGAAACGGCUACCACAUCCAAGGAAGGCAGCAGGCGCGUAAAUUACCCAAUCCUGACACAGGGAGGUAGUGACAAUAAAUAACAAUGCCGGGCUUUUUCAAGUCUGGCAAUUGGAAUGAGAACAAUUUAAAUCCCUUAACGAGGAUCAAUUGGAGGGCAAGUCUGGUGCCAGCAGCCGCGGUAAUUCCAGCUCCAAUAGCGUAUAUUAAUGUUGUUGCAGUUAAAAAGCUCAUAGUUGGAUUUCUGGUGGGAGUGGCCGGUCCGCCGCAAGGUGUGUACUUGGUUGUCUCCUGUCAUCCUUGUGGGAACUGCUCUGGCAUUAAGUUGUCGGGGUUGGGGAACACAUCGUUUACUGUGAAAAAAUUAGAGUGUUUAAAGCAGGCUUAUGCCGUUGAAUACAUUAGCAUGGAAUAAUAAGAUAGGACUUUGGCGUCUAUUUUGUUGGUUUGCACACCAAAGUAAUGAUUAAUAGGGAUAGUUGGGGGUAUUCGUAUUUAAUUGUCAGAGGUGAAAUUCUUGGAUUUAUGAAAGACGAACUUCUGCGAAAGCAUUUACCAAAGAUGUUUUCAUUAAUCAAGAACGAAAGUUAGGGGAUCGAAGAUGAUUAGAUACCAUCGUAGUCUUAACCAUAAACUAUGCCGACUAGGGAUUGGCGGUCGUUCAUUUAUGACUCCGUCAGCACCUUAUGAGAAAUCAAAGUUCUUUUGGGUUUCUGGGGGGAGUAUGUCGCAGGCUGAACUUAAAGGAAUUGACGAUGGUACCACUGAGUGAGCUGCGCUAUUUGACUCAACUCUGGGGAACUUACCAGGUUCAGUACUAGUAGGGA
rnacentral:rRNA from 1 species